AGAACGAACGCUGGCGGCAGGCUUAACACAUGCAAGUCGAACGCGUGUAGCAAUACACGAGCGGCGCACGGGUGAGUAACGCGUGGAUAUCUGCCUUUUGGUUCGGAAUAACCCCGGGAAACUGGGGCUAAUACCGGAUGGUUCCUUCGGGAUAAAGAUUUAUCGCCAAAAGAUGAGUCCGCGUACGAUUAGCUAGUUGGUGAGGUAAUGGCUCACCAAGGCGACGAUCGUUAGCUGGUCUGAGAGGACGAUCAGCCACACUGGGACUGAGACACGGCCCAGACUCCUACGGGAGGCAGCAGUGGGGAAUAUUGGACAAUGGGGGCAACCCUGAUCCAGCCAUGCCGCGUGAGUGAUGAAGGCCUUCGGGUUGUAAAGCUCUUUUGGCGGGACGAUGAUGACGGUACCGCAGAAUAAGCCCGGCUAACUUCGUGCCAGCAGCCGC
rnacentral:rRNA from 1 species